GGCGGCAUAGCUCAGUUGGCUAGAGCAAUCGGUUCAUACCCGGUGUGUCCGCGGUUCAAGUCCGUGUGCCGCCACCA
rnacentral:tRNA from 6 species